AAUAGAUACCCCCGGUAGUCCUAACCGUAAACUAUGUAUACUUGGUGUAGCUGGUCUCAACCCCCAGCUGUGCCGUAGCUAACGCGAUAAGUAUACCGCCUGGGGGAGUACACUCGCAAGGGGUGAAACUCAAAAAGAAUUGACGGGGGACCCGCACAAGCAGUGGAGCAUGUGGUUUAAUUCGAUGCAACGCGAAGAACCUUACCUAGGCCUUGACAUAUAGUAGACAGCACCAGAGAUGGAGCCUUCCUUCGGGACUGCUAAACAGGUGCUGCAUGGCUGUCGUCAGCUCGUGCCGUGAGGUGUUGGGGUUAAGUCCCGCAACGAGCGCAACCCUUGUCAUUAGUUGCCAACAGUUGAAGCUGGGAACUCUAAUGAGACUGCCUGGGGUUAACCAGGAGGAAGGUGAGGAUGACGUCAAGUCAGCAUGGCCCUUAUGCCUAGGGCUACACACGUGCUACAAUGGCCGGUACAGAGGGCAGCCAACCCGCGAGGGGGAGCAAAUCCCAAAAAACCGGCCCCAGUUCAGAUUGU
rnacentral:rRNA from 1 species